CUGAAACACAUCUAAGUCCCAACAGUGCUUUUUAGUCAGCUCUGAAGAAGCUUCUUAGAUGAGAAGUGAAACAUCUUCAAAGAAAAAACAGAAAGUCUAAUUGUCUCUUGAAAAAGCACCAUUGGGAUAACCAUGACAAGGAUGACUGAGAAUUUCCAUAGACAAACACAUCUAAGGAAUUAAAAUAUGGCACUCAAGACAAUGAAUACAAUUUAACACUCUUCCUCCUUUUAUCAUCAAAAUGACCUCCCCCUAAGAUUCUUUAAACUAAGAGAGAUAAGUAUUGCUGUCAUCAAUGUCACCUAACAAGCACAUUCUGUUGUCUCAACAUUUCAUUUAGUGGAAUCAAACUUCAAGAACAAAUAAAGAUAUCAGAUAUGAAGUAUAACUAAAAGGCAGUGAUGAAAGAACAGCAAGACUAUUGCAUCUUUUCAGCUUUGGAUUCAGUGAUACUAUAAAUGACAAGUGCUCUGCUCUUAACAUUCAUUUCUGUAAUUUAAAGCAACAGAAUGUAAAAAAAAGUAUGUCUGAUUCAGUGCUCAUAUAUAUGCUUCCCAAAAUAUAUACACUUUAUUGAAUAAGAUGUUAUUGUUAGUUAAUGUUGCUAUUUAAUGACUUGCCCAAUUGCAAAUGAAAUACAGUUGUUUUUACAAUCCAGGUAUCAGGAUCUUAAUCUUGGCCAGUGAGGAAUUAACAAUGCAUGACUUGAAAUAGGAAAUGAACUGGGAGUUUCUCAAUAGAUCACAGAAUCAUCCAUGAACUAUUGAUAUAAGUCAAAUAAAACAAAAAUAACAAUAUCAUUGUUAUUGGACCAAUGUCAUUUGGUCUUAUAUUAUGUUUCACUCCAUUAUACAGAAUACUGGAUCUUGAAUAACUUCUUGCCUGAUUUGUAGACCAAUACAAAUCCACCAAAAAGCUGCCAAAUAUUUCAAAUUCCUUUUAUAGUUGUGAUUUAAUGUUUUCCUAUUAAAUAGGUUUUCACCACAAAAUGAGAAUAAAUAUUCCAGAAAACAAAGAAGCAAAUAUAUUUAUGUUUAAGAAAGUUUGCUGUAUAUUGCAUAAAGUUUUAAAUCGAAUUGCUUUCAUAAUCUUGCAAUAAAAGGUGGGAAAACACUAGAAUGCUUGAAAAGUUUGCCACAUAUAUGAAAAUUAAAAUGAGAAAAAUAACAGUCAAUUAUAUUAAAUAUCAAGUGGUUAUAUGUUUAUUUAAAAAAAAUCAAUUUUCAAGGCAAUUCAGUUGGAUAUA